rnacentral:rRNA from 1 species
AGUGAACGCUGGCGGCGUGCUUAACACAUGCAAGUGAACGAGAACGGAUAUUAGCUUGCUAAUAUUGUCAGCUAAGUGGCGCACGGGUGAGUAAUAUAUAGAUAAUAUGCCUUCUACUAAGGAAUAACAAUUGGAAACGAUUGCUAAUGCCUUAUAUGCCUUUUAAACAAAAGUUUGUAAAGGGAAAGAUUUAUCGGUAGAAGAUUAGUCUGUAUAGUAUCAGUUAGCUGGUAGGGUAAUGGCCUACCAAGACAAUGACGCUUAACUGGUUUGAGAGGAUGAUCAGUCACACUGGAACUGAGACACGGUCCAGACUCCUACGGGAGGCAGCAGUGGGGAAUAUUGCACAAUGGACGAAAGUCUGAUGCAGCAACGCCGCGUGGAGGAUGACACAUUUCGGUGCGUAAACUCCUUUUAUAUAGGAAGAUAAUGACGGUACUAUAUGAAUAAGCACCGGCUAACUCCGUGCCAGCAGCCGCGGUAAUACGGAGGGUGCAAGCGUUACUCGGAAUCACUGGGCGUAAAGAGCGUGUAGGCGGAUAAAUAAGUCAGAAGUGAAAUCCUAUAGCUUAACUAUAGAACUGCUUUUGAAACUGUUAAUCUAGAAUGUGGGAGAGGUAGAUGGAAUUUCUGGUGUAGGGGUAAAAUCCGUAGAGAUCAGAAGGAAUACCGAUUGCGAAGGCGAUCUACUGGAACAAUAUUGACGCUGAGACGCGAAAGCGUGGGGAGCAAACAGG